GGAGCAUUGGAGGAGUCUGGAGUCCUCGCGACCCUGUCACGGUCGAGAUCGCGGGUUCGAAUCCCGCAUGCUCCG
rnacentral:tRNA from 1 species